GCAUGAAAGGGAGUAGUAAUUUCAAAUAUUUGUCCUUGGAUGUCCGUUGCUAUCACCAGCUGAUCUCCUAGCAUCAAAAGGAGUAGUAGGCUCGCUUUCAGCAUCAUUAGCCUAUAUCAAUAAAAUUAAAAUC